ACGGCUCAGUAACACGUGGAUAACUGCCCUGCGGUGGGAAAUAACCCCGGGAAACUGGGGAUAAUGUCCCAUAGACUACGGAUACUGGAAUGUUCUGUAGUUCAAAGAUUUAUCGCCACAGGAUGGGUCUGCGGCCGAUUAGGUAGUUGUUGGGGUAACGGCCCAACAAGCCUUUGAUCGGUACGGGUUGUGGGAGCAAGAGCCCGGAGAUGGAUUCUGAGACACGAAUCCAGGCCCUACGGGGCGCAGCAGGCGCGAAAACUUUACAAUGCGGGAAACCGUGAUAAGGGAACUCCGAGUGUCCGUAAAUGCGGACUGUCCGUAUGUUUAAAAAGCAUGCGAAGAAAGGGCCGGGCAAGACCGGUGCCAGCCGCCGCGGUAAUACCGGCGGCUCGAGUGGUGGCCACUAUUACUGGGCUUAAAGCGUUCGUAGCUGGGUUGUUAAGUUUCUUGGGAAAUCUACCGGCUUAACCGAUAGGCGUCCAAGGGAUACUGGCAAUCUAGGGACCGGGAGAGGUGAGGGGUACUUCAGGGGUAGGAGUGAAAUCCUGUAAUCCUUGGGGGACCACCUGUGGCGAAGGCGCCUCACCAGAACGGCUCCGACAGUGAGGGACGAAAGCUGGGGGAGCAAACCGGAUUAGAUACCCGGGUAGUCCCAGCCGUAAACGAUGUGCGUUAGGUGUAUCGAUGACCACGAGUCAUCGAGGUGCCGAAGGGAAACCGUGAAACGCGCCGCCUGGGAAGUACGGUCGCAAGGCUGAAACUUAAAGGAAUUGGCGGGGGAGCAC
rnacentral:rRNA from 1 species